UACUCUUGGUGUUUCCCUUGGUUCAGCAACCCAGAUCUCCAUGUUUGUUGUUCCAUUAUGUGUUAUGGUGGCUUGGAUAACGGGAAUCAAGAUGGAUCUUGAUCUUAAUCUGUUAGAAGCUGGCUCAUUGAUCAUGGCAAUACUAGUAAUAGCAUUCACGUUAUAGGAUGGAACUUCACAUUACUUAAAGGGGCUUGUUCCCUUGCUGUGCUACUUGGCAAUUGGUGCAUGCUUCUUUGUUUUCAAAUCCCCA